rnacentral:rRNA from 1 species
CGUCAAGCGAGGAUGGGCGCACGGUGGAUGCCUUGGCGUCAGGAGCCGACGAAGGACGCUGCCGGCGGCGAAAGGUCCGGGGAGCUGCCGAGCAAGCUGCGAUCCGGACGUCUCCGAAUGGGGAAACCCGGCGGGGGUCAUGCCCCGUCACCCACCGCGGAAUCCAUAGGCGGUGCGGAGGGAACCCGGGGAACUGAAACAUCUCAGUACCCGGAGGAAAAGAAAUCAACCGAGAUUCCCUGAGUAGUGGCGAGCGAAAGGGGAGGUAGCCCAAACCCCGCGGGUGCCAAGCCCGCAGGCGUUGCCCGCGGGGGGUUGUGGGACGCGGUCGGACCGGGCUGCGGACCGGUCGGGAAGUUACCAAUCCCCUCUCUAGGCGAACCGCCCUGGAACGGCGGGCCAAAGAGGGUGACAGCCCCGUAGCCGAAAGGGAGGGGACUUCCUGGGCCGCGCUCCCGAGUACCACGGGACACGUGGAACCCCGUGGGAAGCCGGGGGGACCACCCUCCAAGGCUAAAUACUCCUGACGACCGAUAGCGCACGAGUACCGUGAGGGAAAGGUGAAAAGAACCCCGGGAGGGGAGUGAAAUAGAGCCUGAAACCGUGGGCUUACAAGCAGUCGGAGGGCUAUGCCGGUCCCGCAAGGGACCGGAAUGCCUGACGGCGUGCCUAUUGAAGAAUGAGCCUGUGAGUUGUCGCGUGUGGCGAGCCUAAGGCCUUCGGGCCGGAGGCGCAGGGAAACCGAGUCUGAACAGGGCGCCGCUCCCGGAAGGGAGGGCGAGGGGGACCUCGCCAGUCGCACGCGGCAGACCCGAAACCGGGUGAGCUACCCAUGGCCAGGGUGAAGCGCGGCUAACCCCGCGUGGAGGCCCGAACCCGUCGGUGUUGCAAAACCGUGGGAUGAGCUGUGGGUAGGGGUGAUAUGCCAAUCGAACCCGGAGAUAGCUGGUUCUCCCCGAAAUGCAUUGAGGUGCAGCCCCGGUGUGGAGCGCCGCGGAGGUAGAGCACUGGAUGGGCUAGGGCGGAAGAAUCCGUACCGAACCCAACCAAACUCCGAAUGCCGCGGCGUGCUCGCCGGGAGUGAGACGGUGGGGGAUAAGCUCCAUCGUCGAGAGGGGAACAGCCCAGACCGUCGGCUAAGGUCCCUAAGUCCCAGCUCAGUGGGAAAGGAAGUGGCACCGCCCAGACAGCCGGGAGGUUGGCUUAGAAGCAGCCAUCCUUUAAAGAGUGCGUAAUAGCUCACCGGUCGAGUGGUGCUGCGCCGAAAACGUAACGGGGCUAAGCUGGGCACCGAAGCCACGGGUUCGGCGCGGGCGCGGCUCGCGCCGAGCGGUAGGGGAGCGUUCUGCCGUAGGGGGAAGCCGGACCGUGAGGACCGGUGGACGAGGCAGAAGUGAGAAUGCAGGCAUGAGUAGCGAAAAGGCGGGUGAGAAUCCCGCCCCCCGUAAGCCUAAGGGUUCUUACGGAAGGUUCGUCCGCGUAAGGUUAGGCGGGAGCUAAGGCGAGGCCGAAAGGCGUAGCCGAUGCACAGCCGGUCGACAUUCCGGCCCCGCUCGGAGUUCGUUACGAGCCGCGGAGGGACGCAGAAGGGUAGCUCUACCGGCGACCGGAAGUGCCGGGCCAACCGGGUAGGCUGGGGUCCCAGGCAAAUCCGGGACCCCGUUAAGGCCGAGACGGGAGUGCGAGCGGACUUGAAACGUCCGCGAAGGGAGUGAUCCCACGCUGCCGAGAAAAGCUUCGCGGCCAGAACUCCGGGCGCCCGUACCGCAAACCGACACAGGUAGGCGGGCACUGAAGGUGCCAAGGGGCGCGAGGGAACCCUCCUCAAGGAACUCUGCAAGUUGACCCCGUAACUUCGGGAGAAGGGGUGCCCCGGUAGGGUGAGGUGCUCCGCGCACCGAGCCCGAGGGGGCCGCAGAGAAUAGGCCCAAGCGACUGUUUAACAAAAACACAGGUCUCUGCGAAGCCGCAAGGCGACGUAUAGGGGCUGACGCCUGCCCAGUGCCGGAAGGUAAAGGGGAGGGGUUAGCUCGGCCUUCGGGCCGGGCGAAGCUCCAAACCGAAGCCCCGGUGAACGGCGGCGGUAACUAUAACCGUCCUAAGGUAUCGCCGGAAAGGCGCUGCCUGCCCGCCGGGCAACCGGCGGGGCAAUACCUGGCUAUAUGCGGGGAAGCCCUGAGAGCCCUCCCUACGUUUCCGGCUGGACGCCGGCGUAAAAAUGGCGAGGGAUUGGGCAAUCCGCAGGAAACUCCCGGCUUCACCGCUGGGAGGAUCCUCAGAGGCCAUACGCUGGGCAUCUGGUCGGGAGGCUGGGAUGAAGCUGUCUCCAGAUUGGGUGGCGGGGUUCGCGGACGGCGAAGGCUGUUUUCACGUUUCGAUCCAGCGCCACCCCUCCAUGGCCAUCGGGUAUCAGGUGCUGCCUGAGUUCGUGAUCGUCCAACACCGUCGCGAUAUCCAGGUACUCUACGCCCUGAAACGGUUCUUCGGCUGCGGCGUGGUCCGCCCCGACGACGAAGAUCGCUACGCUUACCGGGUGCGGCGGCUGGAGUGCCUGGAACGCAUCUGCGACUUCUUCCAGCAGCAUCCUCUGAAAACGAGGAAGAACGUCGAGAUGCGUCGGUUCCGAAAAAUCGUCCUCCUGAUGAAGGAGGGGCGGCACCGGACCCGAGAGGGGCUGUUAGAGAUUGUUGAGAUCGCUGCGCAGAUGAACUCCGCGAACCGCCCGGCCCUGAAGCAGAUCCGCCAGGAGCUCCUGGCCAGAUGAAGAGAUGGUCCACCCCGUGGCGAAAGUCACGGAACACGGUGAGCGAAAUUCCUUGUCGGGUAAGUUCCGACCUGCACGAAAGGCGUAACGACUUGGGCGCUGUCUCGAGGAGGGGCUCGGCGAAGGUGUACCACCCGUGAAGAUACGGGUUUCCCGCAGCUGGACGGAAAGACCCCGUGGAGCUUUACUGCAGCCUGAUACUGGAUGUGGUUUUGGCAUGUAUAGGAUAGGUGGGAGGCUGGGAAGCGGGGGCGCCAGCUCCCGUGGAGCCACCCUUGGAAUACCACCCUUGUCAGGACUACGUCCUAACCGGGGCCCUACACCGGGUCCUGGGACCGUGUCAGGUGGGCAGUUUGACUGGGGCGGUCGCCUCCUAAAGGGUAACGGAGGCGCCCAAAGGUCCCCUCAGCACGGUUGGAAACCGUGCGUCGAGUGCAAGGGCAUAAGGGGGCUUGACUGCGAGACCCACAAGUCGAGCAGGGGCGAAAGCCGGGCCUAGUGAUCCUACGGCGGCAAGUGGAAGCGCCGUGGCUUAACGGAUAAAAGCUACCCCGGGGAUAACAGGCUGAUCUCCCCCAAGAGUCCACAUCGACGGGGAGGUUUGGCACCUCGAUGUCGGCUCAUCCCAUCCUGGGGGGGCAGUACCUCCCAAGGGUUGGGCUGUUCGCCCAUUAAAGGGGUACGUGAGCUGGGUUCAGACCGUCGACGGAGGCGGCCCAGGCGGGUAACCGCCUGUGGAAAAACCGGCUCAUAACGGGGAAGCCCUCCGGGUCCACCGACCGGAUGCCGAGGGUGACCCCGUGGGAAGGUGAAGGCAGUGGACGAGACCACGAAGGCCUACGUAGCGGGGUUCCUGGACGGCGACGGAGGUGUAAUGCUGCAACUGCAGAGUCCGCGACCGUCGCCACAGGAGUUCUUGGAGUGGGCCGAGCGGGUGGAGUCCUACCAGCGCCUAAACUACUCGAAGCGCCCGCGGUACGGGACAGAAGACGUACGGCGGGAGCUGGUAGCACGGCGCGCCUUCACCCCCGUAACGACUGAGGCCGUGGAGGCCGAGGCUCGGGCGGCGACCAGACAGGAACCCAUCGCCCGGGCAACACGCCGGCACCCCCGAAAGGGGGUGGUGGGAUAGUCUACCCCCCGAGGAAACUCGGGGAGACGGUGCGUGAGACAGGUCGGUCCCUAUCCACUGCGGGCGUCGGUGGCUUGAGGGGGGCUGCUCCUAGUACGAGAGGACCGGAGUGGACGCACCUCUGGUGUACCGGUUGUCGCGCCAGCGGCACGCGCCGGGUAGCCAUGUGCGGUCGUGAUAAGCGCUGAAAGCAUCUAAGCGCGAAGCACGCCCCAAGAUGAGGCCACCCACCGGGUCAACCGGGUAAGGCCCCAGGUAGACGACCUGGUAGAUAGGCCGGAGGUGGAAGCGCGGCAACGCGUGAAGCCGACCGGUACUAAUCGGCCGAGGGCUUGAAGGG